UACAGAGGGGGCAAGCGUUGUUCGGAAUUACUGGGCGUAAAGGGCGCGUAGGCGGCCUGCUAAGUCGAACGUGAAAUCCCUGGGCUCAACCCAGGAACUGCGUCCGAUACUGGUUGGCUUGAAUCCGGGAGAGGGAUGCGGAAUUCCAGGUGUAGCGGUGAAAUGCGUAGAUAUCUGGAGGAACACCGGUGGCGAAGGCGGCAUCCUGGACCGGCAUUGACGCUGAGGCGCGAAAGCCAGGAGGGAGCAAACGGG
rnacentral:rRNA from 1 species